rnacentral:rRNA from 1 species
CGGGACGGGUGAGUAACGCGUGGAUAACCUGCCCCAUACCGGGGGAUAACAGCCGGAAACGGCUGCUAAUACCGCAUAAGCGCACGAGGCUGCAUGGCCCUGUGUGAAAAACUCCGGUGGUAUGGGAUGGAUCCGCGUCUGAUUAGCUAGUUGGUGAGAUAAAAGCCCACCAAGGCGACGAUCAGUAGCCGACCUGAGAGGGUGGCCGGCCACAUUGGGACUGAGACACGGCCCAGACUCCUACGGGAGGCAGCAG